UCGGUGCCGCAGCUAACGCAUUAAGUACUCCGCCAGGGAAGUACGCUCGCAAGAGGGAAACUAAAAGGAAUUGACGGGGACCCGAACAAGUAGCGGAGCAUGUGGGUUAAUUCGAAGCAACGCGAAGAACCUUACCUAAGCUUGACAUCCCAAUGACAUCUCCUUAAUCGGAGAGUUCCCUUCGGGGACAUUGGUGACAGGUGGUGCAUGGUUGUCGUCAGCUCGUGUCGUGAGAUGUUGGGUUAAGUCCCGCAACGAGCGCAACCCUUGUCUUUAGUUGCCAUCAUUAAGUUGGGCACUCUAGAGAGACUGCCAGGGAUAACCUGGAGGAAGGUGGGGAUGACGUCAAAUCAUCAUGCCCCUUAUGCUUAGGGCUACACACGUGCUACAAUGGGUAGUACAGAUGGUUGCCAAGCCGUAAGGCGGAGCUAAUCCCCUAAAGCUACUCUCAGUUCGCAUGGUAGGCUGAAACUCGCUUACAUGAAGCUGGAGUUACUAGUAAUCGCAGAUCAGAAUGCUGCGGUGAAUGCGUUCCCGGGUCUUGUACACACCGCCCGUCACACCACGGGAGUUGGAGACGCCCGAAGCCGAUUAUCUAACC
rnacentral:rRNA from 1 species